rnacentral:rRNA from 1 species
AUUGAACGCUGGCGGCAUGCUUUACACAUGCAAGUCGAACGGCAGCACAGGGAGCUUGCUCCCGGGUGGCGAGUGGCGCACGGGUGAGUAAUACAUCGGAACGUGUCCUAUUGUGGGGGAUAACUGCUCGAAAGGGUGGCUAAUACCGCAUGAGACCUGAGGGUGAAAGCGGGGGAUCGCAAGACCUCGCGCAAUUGGAGCGGCCGAUGCCCGAUUAGCUAGUUGGUGAGGUAAAGGCUCACCAAGGCGACGAUCGGUAGCUGGUCUGAGAGGACGACCAGCCACACUGGGACUGAGACACGGCCCAGACUCCUACGGGAGGCAGCAGUGGGGAAUUUUGGACAAUGGGGGCAACCCUGAUCCAGCCAUGCCGCGUGCAGGAUGAAGGCCUUCGGGUUGUAAACUGCUUUUGUCAGGGACGAAAAGGAUCGUGUUAAUACCAUGGUCUGCUGACGGUACCUGAAGAAUAAGCACCGGCUAACUACGUGCCAGCAGCCGCGGUAAUACGUAGGGUGCAAGCGUUAAUCGGAAUUACUGGGCGUAAAGCGUGCGCAGGCGGUUCUGUAAGACAGAUGUGAAAUCCCCGGGCUCAACCUGGGAAUUGCAUUUGUGACUGCAGGACUAGAGUUCAUCAGAGGGGGGUGGAAUUCCAAGUGUAGCAGUGAAAUGCGUAGAUAUUUGGAAGAACACCAAUGGCGAAGGCAGCCCCCUGGGAUGCGACUGACGCUCAUGCACGAAAGCGUGGGGAGCAAACAGG